CGGGCGCGACCCGCUCCGGGGACAGUGCCAGGUGGGGAGUUUGACUGGGGC
rnacentral:rRNA from 1 species